rnacentral:rRNA from 1 species
GAUGAACGCUGGCGGCGUGCCUAAUACAUGCAAGUCGAGCGAGCGGACGAGAAGCUUGCUUCUCUGAUGUUAGCGGCGGACGGGUGAGUAACAUGUGGAUAACCUACCUAUAAGACUGGGAUAACUUCGGGAAACCGUAGCUAAUACCGGAUAAUAUUUUGAACCGCAUGGUUCAAAAGUGAAAGACGGUCUUGCUGUCACUUAUAGAUGGAUCCGCGCUGCAUUAGCUAGUUGGUAAGGUAACGGCUUACCAAGGCAACGAUGCAUAGCCGACCUGAGAGGGUGAUCGGCCACACUGGAACUGAGACACGGUCCAGACUCCUACGGGAGGCAGCAGUAGGGAAUCUUCCGCAAUGGGCGAAAGCCUGACGGAGCAACGCCGCGUGAGUGAUGAAGGUCUUCGGAUCGUAAAACUCUGUUAUUAGGGAAGAACAUAUGUGUAAGUAACUGUGCACAUCUUGACGGUACCUAAUCAGAAAGCCACGGCUAACUACGUG